rnacentral:rRNA from 1 species
AUUGAACGCUGGCGGCAGGCCUAACACAUGCAAGUCGAACGAGUGGCGGACGGGUGAGAAAUGUCUGGGAAACCGCUUGAUGGAGGGGGAUAACCACUGGAAACGGUAGAUAAUACCGCAUACCAUCGGAUGUGCCCAGAUGGGAUGAGAUAGUAGGUGGGGUAACGGCUCACCUAGGCGACGAUCCCUAGCUGGUCUGAGAGGAUGACCAGCCACACGGGAACUGAGACACGGUCCAAACUCCUACGGGAGGCAGCAGUGGGGAAUAUUGCACAAUGGGCGCAAGCCUGAUGCAGCCAUGCCGCGUGUGUGAAGAAGGCCUUCGGGUUGUAAAGUACUUUCAGCGGGGAGGCGUUACCCGCAGAAGAAGCACCGGCUAACUCCGUGCCAGCCGCCGCGGUAAUAC